GAUGAACGCUGACAGAAUGCUUAACACAUGCAAGUCUUUGGCGAAUCUGUGCUUGCACAGGCUAGCCAAGGCGGACGGGUGAGUAACGCGUAAAGAACUUGCCCUGCAGACAGGGAUAACAGACGGAAACGACUGAUAACACCUGAUACAGUUGCCGGCACGCAUGUGCCUGGCAAUGAAAAGAGAUGCUGCAGGAGAGCUUUGCGUCCUAUUAGCUUGUUGGUGAGGUGACGGCUCACCAAGGCGAUGAUAGGUAGCCGGCCUGAGAGGGUGAACGGCCACAAGGGGACUGAGAUACGGCCCUUACUCCUACGGGAGGCAGCAGUGAGGAAUAUUGGACAAUGGGGGCAACCCUGAUCCAGCAAUUCUGUGUGCACGAAGAAGGUUUUCGGAUUGUAAAGUGCUUUCAGCAGGGAAGAAGAAAGUGACGGUACCUGCAGAAGAAGCGACGGCUAAAUACGUG
rnacentral:rRNA from 1 species